GUGGGUAUGGCUCAGUGGUAGAGCGAGCGCAUGCCUAGCGUGCAUGAGGUCCUGGGUUCAGUCCCCAGUACCUCCA
rnacentral:tRNA from 1 species